rnacentral:sRNA from 1 species
AACGGUGAUACGCCGAACCAUCAUUGGGCGGGGGAUAUCUUUUCUGGGGUGAAGGACGCCAACGCGUCCCGGGCAACCUUUCUGUCCGAAUCCGUCAACUAACCUCGCAGGCGAUAGAAGGGAGAGCAA